CAAACACAACUAUGUGGUAUGAGCCGCUUGGUGGUGAUAUAUCAUUAUGGUAACUAUGAGACAGUAAAGCACCAGAAACAAGAAAGCUGACCACUUUAAACAUCUGAAUUUAUCUACAACCCCACUGAGAGCAGCUACUUACAAAAUUCAUGCCAAUAAAGCUACUUUGAAUCUUGAGAGAGAAAGAAUGGGGCUGAGAGAGAGAGAGAGAGAGAGAGAGAGAGAGAGAGAGAGUUCUAAACAACAGCAAGAAAUAUGAGCUCCUGAAAUUUUAAGCUUUUUUGUUGAUUUUUUGGACAUAUACGACGGUUAGCAGUAAUCUAAACUCUAGCUGAAUAUAUCAGGCACAUUUAGAGCAAUUUUUGGAUCCAUCAACUAAAAAGAAAAAGAAGAAAUACAACUAACAAGUUUUACCUAUCAACUCAGGCCCACUCAGUCAAAUCAAAACAACAGAGACUGACUAACAGACAGAGGAAAAAAGUGGAGAAAUCUGGAAAAAAACAAGAAAAUCACAGGAAAACAACAACCAAUCAACAAACCAGGCUGAGUUGGCUAAUAAGAAAGGGGCAGUGAAAGCUGGAGAAGCAGAAGCGAGAUGAGAGGAAACCAAACCGAGACAAACUCAGCAAGGACGUCAGGGAUCGUUGUUUGGAUAAAUAACAGCAUUGAUAAGCUAAGUUGUUUGCUAGCGGGUGGAACAGCGACCACGUUGCUUAUUUUGCACAGAGAGUGUUUAGUCUGAGUCUAUUUACAAGUACAAAUAAAGUACAUAUGAUGAAAUUUGACACAACUGUACUUGAUUACUGUCCUGCUUUGCACACACUCUUAAAAACAAUGGUUCUUUAG